rnacentral:rRNA from 1 species
UACGUAGGGGGCUAGCGUUGUCCGGAUUUAUUGGGCGUAAAGAGCGUGUAGGCGGCCAGAUAGGUCCGUUGUGAAAACUGGAGGCUUAACCUCCGGCCGUCGAUGGAAACCAUCUGGCUAGAGUCCGGAAGAGGAGAGUGGAAUUCCUGGUGUAGCGGUGAAAUGCGCAGAUAUCAGGAAGAACACCCGUGGCGAAGGCGGCUCUCUGGGACGGUACUGACGCUGAGACGCGAAAGCGUGGGGAGCGAACAGG